UACGUAGGGACCGAGCGUUGUCCGGAAUCAUUGGGCGUAAAGGGUCCGCAGGUGGCAGUGUAAGUCUGCUGUCAAAGAAUGAGGCUUAACCUUAUCAAGGCAGUGGAAACUACACAGCUAGAGUACGGUCGGGGUAGAAGGAAUUCCUGGUGUAGCGGUGAAAUGCGUAGAGAUCAGGAAGAACACCGGUGGCGAAAGCGUUCUGCUAGACCUGUACUGACACUGAGGGACGAAAGCUAGGGGAGCGAAUGGG
rnacentral:rRNA from 1 species